rnacentral:misc_RNA from 1 species
CUUUUUUUUUUAUCACAUUAACAAUCCUAACAUUAUUGGAAAAACAGAUUCAGCAGUUCUCAAUCUUUAGAAUUCAAUUUUCAUAUUAUGAAAAUUUCUAAAAUUUAUUCUUUUACUUAUAUCAAUUAAUUGGCUUUUAGAUUUUCUUUCCAUAACAUUCUGAAGCAUGAAUUGCAGGGAGUGAAGGCCUUACUCAAUGGCUUGCGGACCCAACAUAUCCAAACAUCACUUUGUCAUGGAAUGUGAUUCAUGGACAUGGUAUGAUCCAGCAGAAAAUACUGAAAUCUUCAACUUACUAUGUUGCAGCAGGUAACCUUAACUCAGAGGACGUAGAGGUAAUUGCUGAAGAAUCCUCACCUAUUUUUUGUUUCAUUAAUUUGGUUCUUCAUCUUUAAGCAAUUGCACAAACAUUUAAUACAAUUGGCCCAUAAACAUCUUAUUUGUUUCUUGUAUUACCAACCACAAUAAAAAGUGUUUCUUUGACUUCCACGCAUGUUAUUUUGGUAUUAUAGAAGGAUCUAAAGAAAAUGAAUUCAGACAGAACUCUUAGGUGUCUGAAAGGCUUUAUUAUUGUGAUAUCUACUGGUCUACAAAACAUUAACUACAUGUAGAAAAACUCCAAUUCCAACUUGAACCAUGCAAGCUCAUAAUUUGACACAAUGAUGCAGGAAUAUGAGAAGCCACACAGUAAUUAUUAGGUAAACAUUUUAUUUGGGAUUAUUGCUAGUGCUAUAGAACUACUAAUUAGAUCCUUGUUGAUAUUUGCAGUUCUUAACUAGCAUUUGUUAAGAUGGUGUUUAAGCAAUAACCUGAAGUUGAUGGUUUGUGGUAUCUCUGAAAUUUUACCUUUAUUUUCUCCCACAUGAAUGAUAUCCUCUUUUGCUGUAAUAUAUUUAUCCAACAAAAAUUGAAAAGAAAGAUAUAUAAGAAGUCUUUGAAUCAUCAAUGUCAUGAUAAACUAAUGUACUUAUUCCAAUAUUUGUUUAAUGAACUUAUUCUACGAUCUUUCUGUGUUAACAAAUUGGAGAGCGUUUAUAUUCCUUGGAAUUGAAAAUGGUUCCAUCCCCACAUUAAGCCUUCUGAUGUAACCUUUUAGUUAUGGAAGUGCUCUUCUCUACAAUUUCUGAGUAACCCUACUGUAAAGUGAGGGAAAAAGUGGGAGCUAGAUUAGCAGAGCAGUGAAAUUUUUGGCCCACACUAUUUGUCUUUGUUUGUAUAAAAUCAUGUAAAACACAAAUAAAUUAUGACAUGUCCAUACUCCAUAUAUGCAUUGUGUAUUUCACUUAUAUGUGUAUGUUUAUCUGUGUUGUUGUAGCACUCAUGACACUUUUUUAUCCCUAAAGAUGGGAACAUGAGGAGGCAAAUGGUUGUGUUCACUGUUCAGUAGUUGGGAAUUUAUUGUGUUUGUAACCCAACUUCAAAUUUCAAUUUAUAUCUUCAAUGCUUUUAACAAAAGAUUAGCUUUCAAUGAAAUUACAAUUUACCAAUUCAAUAAUUUAGUGCUGGAGGAGCACAUGAUUUAGGAAGACCUUGUUAAAAGACAAAACUCAAUUUUUUAAUGUAAUGCAUGGGUAGAGAUAGGUUAAAUACAGUAUUGCUGUUGAGCUUAAGAAUCGGAUGAAAUCAUCAAGUCUAUUCCAUAAGAAUUAAACAACUUUUCUCACUGCUUGUUACUUGAUAUAUUGAAGCAGUUGCGUUUUUUUUCCUAGAUAGCCAUUUGUACUUUUUUAUGAGCUAAAUUUUAAUUGUACAGGUGCAGUUAAAUCUCAGUAUAA